GAUGAACGCUGGCGGCGUGCCUAAUACAUGCAAGUCGAGCGAACGGACGAGAAGCUCGCUUCUCUUAUGUUAGCGGCGGACGGGUGAGUAACACGUGGAUAACCUACCUAUAAGACUGGGAUAACUUCGGGAAACCGUAGCUAAUACCGGAUAAUAUUUUGAACCGCAUGGUUCAACAGUGAAAGACGGUCUUGCUGUCACUUAUAGAUGGAUCCGCGCUGCAUUAGCUAGUUGGUAAGGUAACGGCUUACCAAGGCAACGAUGCAUAGCCGACCUGAGAGGGUGAUCGGCCACACUGGAACUGAGACACGGUCCAGACUCCUACGGGAGGCAGCAGUAGGGAAUCUUCCGCAAUGGGCGAAAGCCUGACGGAGCAACGCCGCGUGAGUGAUGAAGGUCUUCGGAUCGUAAAACUCUGUUAUUAGGGAAGAACAGAUGUGUAAGUAACUGUGCACAUCUUGACGGUACCUAAUCAGAAAGCCACGGCUAACUACGUG
rnacentral:rRNA from 1 species